GUGCUCGCUUCGGCAGCACAUAUACUAAAAUUGGAACGAUACAGAGAAGAUUAGUAUGGACCCUGAGAAAGGAUGACACGAAAAUUCAUGAAGAUAGGGGCUGGGGUUGU
ensembl:snRNA U6 U6 spliceosomal RNA